GUGGGAACUGCCAUAAGUGGGGGAAACAAGGAGAAACGGAUGCUAAUACCGCAUAAGUCCCGUCUCCGCAUGGAGACGGGAUAAAAGACGGCUCUGCUGUCGMUUAUGGAUGGUCCCGCGGCGUAUUAGCUAGUUGGUGGGGUAAAGGCUCACCAAGGCGAUGAUACGUAGCCGACCUGAGAGGGUGAUCGGCCACACUGGGACUGAGACACGGCCCAGACUCCUACGGGAGGCAGCAGUAGGGAAUCUUCCGCAAUGGACGAAAGUCUGACGGAGCAAUGCCGCGUGAGUGAAGAAGGUUUUCGGAUCGUAAA
rnacentral:rRNA from 1 species